UACGGGGGGGGUAAGCGUUGUUCGGAAUUACUGGGCGUAAAGGGCUCGUAGGCGGCCAACUAAGUCGGACGUGAAAUCCCUCAGCUUAACUGGGGAACUGCGUCCGAUACUGGAUGGCUUGGAUUUGGGAGAGGGAUGCGGAAUUCCAGGUGUAGCGGUGAAAUGCGUAGAUAUCUGGAGGAACACCGGUGGCGAAGGCGGCAUCCUGGACCAAUAUUGACGCUGAGGAGCGAAAGCCAGGGGAGCAAAACGGGG
rnacentral:rRNA from 1 species